GUCUCUUCAGAGACAUCCGAUAAAAUUGGAACAAUACAGAGAAGAUUAGCAUGGUCCCUGCGCAAGGAUGACACGUACAAAUCGAGAAAUGGUCCAAUUUUUU
rnacentral:snRNA from 2 species